rnacentral:rRNA from 1 species
GACAGAGGUGCCAAGCGUUAGGCGGAAUCACUGGGCUUAAAGCGUGUGUAGGCGGAUCGUUAAGUGCCUUGUGAAAUCCCACGGCUUAACCGUGGAACUGCUCGGCAUACUGGCGGUCUUGAGCCAGCUAGGGGCUACCGGAACAAAUGGUGGAGCGGUGAAAUGCGUAGAUAUCGGAAGGAACGCCGGUGGCGAAAGCGGCGUGCUGGACCCUUUCUGACGCUGAGGCGCGAAAGCCAGGGGAGCAAACGGG